rnacentral:siRNA from 1 species
GGUAGACUAAGAUGACACGUGUU